rnacentral:rRNA from 1 species
UCCGUAGGCGGACUAAUAAGUCAGGGGUGAAAUCCCACAGCUCAACUGUGGAACUGCCUUUGAUACUGUUAGUCUUGAGUUAUAUGGAAGUAGAUAGAAUGUGUAGUGUAGCGGUGAAAUGCUUAGAGAUUACACAGAAUACCGAUUGCGAAGGCAGUCUACUACGUAUAUACUGACGCUAAUGGACGAAAGCGUGGGGAGCAAACAGGAUUAGUACCCUGGUAGUCC